ACUCAAAUGAAUUGACGGGGGCCCGCACAAGCGGUGGAUGAUGUGGAUUAAUUCGAUGCAACGCGAAAAACCUUACCUACCCUUGACAUGUCAGGAACCUUCCAGAGACGGAAGGGUGCCCGAAAGGGAACCUGAACACAGGUGCUGCAUGGCUGUCGUCAGCUCGUGUCGUGAGAUGUUGGGUUAAGUCCCGCAACGAGCGCAACCCUUGUCCUUAGUUGCUACCAUUUAGUUGAGCACUUUAAGGAGACUGCCGGUGACAAACCGGAGGAAGGUGGGGAUGACGUCAAGUCCUCAUGGCCCUUAUGGGUAGGGCUUCACACGUCAUACAAUGGUCGGUACAGAGGGUUGCCAAGCAGCGAUGCGGAGCCAAUCCCAGAAAGCCGAUCGUAGUCCGGAUCGUAGUCUGCAACUCGACUACGUGAAGUCGGAAUCGCUAGUAAUCGCGGAUCAGCAUGUCGCGGUGAAUACGUUCCCGGGCCUUGUACACACCGCCCGU
rnacentral:rRNA from 1 species